UACGGGGGGAGCAAGCGUUGUUCGGAUUUACUGGGCGUAAAGGGCGCGUAGGCGGUCGUGACAAGUCACUUGUGAAAUCUCCGGGCUUAACUCGGAACGGUCAAGUGAUACUGUCGGACUAGAGUACAGAAGGGGCAACUGGAAUUCUCGGUGUAGCGGUGAAAUGCGUAGAUAUCGAGAGGAACACCUGCGGCGAAGGCGGGUUGCUGGGCCGCAACUGACGCUGAGGAGCGAAAGCAUGGGGAGCGAACAGG
rnacentral:rRNA from 1 species